rnacentral:rRNA from 1 species
GAUGAACGCUGGCGGCGUGCCUAAUACAUGCAAGUCGAGCGAACAGAUGAGAAGCUUGCUUCUCUGAUGUUAGCGGCGGACGGGUGAGUAACACGCGGGUAACCUACCUAUAAGACUGGGAUAACUCCGGGAAACCGGGGCUAAUACCGGAUAAUAUUUUGAACCGCCUGGUUCAAUAGUGAAAGACGGUUUCGGCUGUCACUUAUAGAUGGACCCGCGCCGUAUUAGCUAGUUGGUAAGGUAACGGCUUACCAAGGCGACGGUACGUAGCCGACCUGGGAGGGUGAUCGGCCAGCCUGGAACUGAGACACGGUCCAGACUCCUACGGGAGGCAGCAGUAGGGAAUCUUCCGAAAUGGGCGAAAGCCUGACGGAGCAACGCCGCGUGAGUGAUGAAGGUCUUCGGAUCGUAAAACUCUGUUGUUAGGGAAGAACAAAUUUGUUAGUAACUGAACAAGUCUUGACGGUACCUAACCAGAAAGCCACGGCUAACUACGUGCCAGCCGCCGCCGUAA